rnacentral:rRNA from 1 species
GAUGAACGCUGACAGCAUGCUUAACACAUGCAAGUCAACUGUGGCGGACGGGUGAGUAACGCGUAAAGAACUUGCCUAACAGCUAGGGACAACCUUUGGAAACGAAUGCUAAUACCUGAUACUGUGAGAGAGCUUUGCGUCCCAUUAGCUAGUUGGAGAGGUAACGGCUCACCAAGUCGAGGAUGGGUAGCCGGCCUGCGAGGGUGAUCGGCCACAAGGGGAUUGAGAACCGGCCCUUACUCCUACGGGAGGCAGCAGUGGGGAAUAUUGGACAAUGGACCAAAGUCUGAUACAGCAAUUCGGGGGGCACGAUGAAGUUUUCGGAAUGUAAAGUGCUUUCAGUUGGGAAGCAGUACCAACAGAAGAAGUGACGGCUAAAUACGUGCCAGCAGCCGCGGGAAUUC